rnacentral:lncRNA from 1 species
GCGUCACUUCCGAGGUCACAAAGGAAGUCUGACGGUUAGAGAACAGGGAGGUGUCGGUCUGCAUACCUGAAAAAGAGUCAUAAUUAGCCACAGGCCACCAGGACCAUGCCCAGUACUGCCCAGAGACUCCAGAGGGCCAUAACAGCUGCCUUUUUCAGUCUUAGGCGUUGGUUCUAGGCCAAACGUAGGCAGACACACAGGUUAGGGUACGAGGUGUGCUGAUUGCUCUUUAUUUCGUCAGUCUCAUGUCAGACUAAAAGGGAAGCUGGCACUGGGCCUAUGGAAUAGUCCACAAUGACCCUUUUCAACUUCCAAGUUAGGAUUCUCCUGACCUGGUCUCUUACCAGUUAAUAUAAAACAGAUUAAUCCCUAAUUUUCUGGAGAGUAAAUCACAUCUGGAGAUACAUUCCACUACUCAUGGAAAUCCAAUUGGACAGUCCGUGAAAGGAAGAGAAAUUUUAGUGAUGAAGAGGACUCUUAGACCAUUGGCCUAUUCACAGGAAUAUGGAGGAAUUUACUGCAGAAUAUCUCAUUUAACCCUCACACCAUGCUAAGAAACAAGUUUAACAUAUGAGGAACUGGAGGACUGGAAGUCAAGAUUUCUAGUGAGCAGGAAAUACUGGGGGAUCAGUAUCAGUCUGCAUGUUCCAUUUGCCUUAGUCUUCUUUUAGAAGGAACCAGGAAGUAAAAAUAAAUUAAGAGGCCUUUCAGCUUUGAAAGCAGAAGCCCAAGUCUCAAGAGUAAAACAGUAAGAGCCAACUACGCCCAAAUUUUAAGCCAGGUGGUGAUCACCUGUGCAGGUUGUGUGGCCAGAUUGUGAUUCCAGCAUUAGCCCAUCACCCUGCUCCGUAUUCUGACGUAGAAGAUGAGGAAUCAUGGGAAGGCGGAAGAGCCUGCUGGAAGGGUUUCUUUGUGGAAAGGACCUGGAGCUGAGUGAAAACUUACAAGCUGACACUCAGACAAGGUGCCACUUGCAUUUAAAGAGUGUCAGGUGAGAAAUGCAUCAGUGAUAGGGAAUCUUCAAAGGACCCGCUUGAACACCAGACUGCUCUCACCAUGCCCUAGGGAAAUUAAUAAAGACUACAGCUACACCUUUCAGUAGAGCUAAGUGUUUUAUGCCCAUUUUCUCUAAUCACCAGUCUUCUAGUAACCUUUCCCUGGAGGGGCUCUAAUAUAUUCAAAUGGAGGAAAGGAGGUAGAACAGCACUGAAAAACAAUCCUAAAACUAAAGAAAGUGUUGCAGCUUAUGUGUAGAUGUCCUAAAGUCUCCUGUGCUCAGAGGUGAGGCCUUUCAGAGCUGGCUGAAU